GACGAACGCUGGCGGCGUGCUUAACACAUGCAAGUCGAACGGAAAGGCCCUGCUUUUGUGGGGUGCUCGAGUGGCGAACGGGUGAGUAACACGUGAGUAACCUGCCCUUGACUUUGGGAUAACUUCAGGAAACUGGGGCUAAUACCGGAUAGGAGCUCCUGCUGCAUGGUGGGGGUUGGAAAGUUUCGGCGGUUUGGGAUGGACUCGCGGCUUAUCAGCUUGUUGGUGGGGUAGUGGCUUACCAAGGCUUUGACGGGUAGCCGGCCUGAGAGGGUGACCGGCCACAUGGGGACUGAGAUACGGCCCAGACUCCUACGGGAGGCAGCAGGGGGGAAUAUUGCACAAUGGGCGGAAGCCUGAUGCAGCAACGCCGCGUGCGGGAUGACGGCCUUCGGGUUGUAAACCGCUUUCGCCUGUGACGAAGCGUGAGUGACGGUAAUGGGUAAAGAAGCACCGGCUAACUACGUG
rnacentral:rRNA from 1 species